rnacentral:rRNA from 1 species
GACGAAACGCUGGCGGCGUGCCUAAUACAUGCAAGUAGAACGCUGAAGAGAGGAGCUUCGCUCUUCUCGGAAGAGUUGCGAACGGGUGAGUAACGCGUAGGUAACCUGCCUUGUAGCGGGGGAUAACUAUUGGAAACGAUAGCUAAUACCGCAUAACAAUGGAUGACACAUGUCAUUUAUUUGAAAGGGGCAAUUCGCUCCACUACAAGAUGGACCUGCGUUGUAUUAGCUAGUAGGUGAGGUAACGGCUCACCUAGGCGACGAUACAUAGCCGACCUGAGAGGGUGAUCGGCCACACUGGGACUGAGACACGGCCCAGACUCCUACGGGAGGCAGCAGUAGGGAAUCUUCGGCAAUGGGGGCAACCCUGACCGAGCAACGCCGCGUGAGUGAAGAAGGUUUUCGGAUCGUAAAGCUCUGUUGUAAGUCAAGAACGAGUGUGAGAGUGGAAAGUUCACACUGUGACGGUAGCUUACCAGAAAGGGACGGCUAACUACGUGCCAGCAGCCGCGGUAAUACGUAGGUCCCGAGCGUUGUCCGGAUUUAUUGGGCGUAAAGCGAGCGCAGGCGGUUUGAUAAGUCUGAAGUUAAAGGCUGUGGCUCAACCAUAGUUCGCUUUGGAAACUGUCAAACUUGAGUGCAGAAGGGGAGAGUGGAAUUCCAUGUGUAGCGGUGAAAUGCGUAGAUAUACGGAGGAACACCGGUGGCGAAAGCGGCUCUCUGGUCUGUAACUGACGCUGAGGCUCGAAAGCGUGGGGAGCGAACAGGAUUAGAUACCCCGGUAGUCCACGCCGUAAACGAUGAGUGCUAGGUGUUGGAUCCUUUCCGGGAUUCAGUGCCGCAGCUAACGCAUUAAGCACUCCGCCUGGGGAGUACGACCGCAAGGUUGAAACUCAAAGGAAUUGACGGGGGCCCGCACAAGCGGUGGAGCAUGUGGUUUAAUUCGAAGCAACGCGAAGAACCUUACCAGGUCUUGACAUCCCGAUGCUAUUUCUAGAGAUAGAAAGUUACUUCGGUACAUCGGUGACAGGUGGUGCAUGGUUGUCGUCAGCUCGUGUCGUGAGAUGUUGGGUUAAGUCCCGCAACGAGCGCAACCCCUAUUGUUAGUUGCCAUCAUUCAGUUGGGCACUCUAGCGAGACUGCCGGUAAUAAACCGGAGGAAGGUGGGGAUGACGUCAAAUCAUCAUGCCCCUUAUGACCUGGGCUACACACGUGCUACAAUGGUUGGUACAACGAGUUGCGAGUCGGUGACGGCAAGCUAAUCUCUUAAAGCCAAUCUCAGUUCGGAUUGUAGGCUGCAACUCGCCUACAUGAAGUCGGAAUCGCUAGUAAUCGCGGAUCAGCACGCCGCGGUGAAUACGUUCCCGGGCCU